rnacentral:rRNA from 1 species
GACGAACGCUGGCGGCGUGCUUAACACAUGCAAGUCGAACGAAGUGGCGAACGGGUGAGUAACGCGUAAUCAACCUGCCCUUCAGAGGGGGAUAACAGUUGGCAACGACUGCUAAUACCGCAUACUGAAGGAGGGGAUUGCGUCUGAUUAGCUAGUUGGGGGGGUAACGGCCCACCAAGGCGAUGAUCAGUAGCCGGUCUGGAAGGGUGAACGGCCACAAUUGGACUGGGACACGGCCCCGACUCCUACGGGAGGCAACAGUGGGGGAUCAUCCGCAAUGGGCGAAAGUCUGACGGCGCAACGCCGCGGGAGUGAUGACGGCCUUCGGGUUGUAAAGCUCUGUUAAUCGGGGCGCGGUACCGGAAUAGAAAGCCACGGCUAACUACGUGCCAGCCGCCGCGGUAAUUC